rnacentral:rRNA from 1 species
GACAGAGGGUGCAAACGUUGUUCGGAAUUACUGGGCGUAAAGCGCGUGUAGGCGGCCCUGCAAGUCGGAUGUGAAAUCCCACGGCUCAACCGUGGAAGUGCAUUCGAAACUGCAGGGCUAGAGUCCUGGAGAGGAAGGUGGAAUGCUUGGUGUAGAGGUGAAAUUCGUAGAUAUCAAGCGGAACACCGGUGGCGAAGGCGGCCUUCUGGGCAGUGACUGACGCUGAGACGCGAAAGCGUGGGGAGCAAACAGG